UACAACGUGAGUCUGAACAUCUUGUGAUGCCAAAGAAUGAGAAGGUGCUCAAAACUGGGUGGGGGCCGGGGCGCUGCGGGGCUCAGUCGGUUUAGCAUGUGACUCUUGAUUUCGGCUCAGGUCAUGAUCUCAGGGUUGUGGGAUCCAGCCCCGCAUCAGGCUCUGUACUUUGGCACAGAGUCUGCUUCUCCCUCUCCCUCUGCUCCUCCCCUGCUCGUGCUCUCUCUCUCUCAAAUAAUAAAAUCUUUAAAAACAAAAAACAAAAACACUGAGAUUAUAAUAGACAACGAAAGACGGCCCAGACUGCUGAAGACUGAGGAAAAGAAACAAGUAAAUGCAACGUGGGGUCCUGGAAAGAACCAUGAACUCAGUGGGGAAAGUGAUGCUGUUCAGGAGACAGACAACAGGAAGAGGGACACAGCAGCUGCGGCAUCCGAGUAUGAACCAGGCAAACAGACCCAGCUAUCAGGACGGCCACAAGAGAGCUCAAAGCCCAGUGAUGCCCCACAGGUAAUCUUUAUACCCAGCGUGGGGCUCGAACUCACAACCCUAAGAUCAAGAGUCACAUGCUCUACUGGCUGAGCCAGCCAGGCGCCCCCACAAGAAAACCUUCUGGAAAAUGGUGUGGAUCCAAUCGACAAUUAUAAUGUCACUGAGCGCAUUAUAACCAAAGUCUCCCUCCAUACCAGAUGCCAGAUCCUUCAGGAACCUACCCCAGGCCAUCUUAUCCUCAUUCUUCAGCACACAGUGGAGGCUCCAGCCCAGUCCCGCCAACGACAGCCACACCUAGCCCUCACCGCACCCUCUCUCCGGCACUCCAGGACAAACCUGCCACAGGAAACCCACCCGUGGACGCCCCAAGACAUCUAAAAUGUCAUCGGGUCAAAAACAGAAGAUAACAUCCUUCUCAACUUUGGGGGGACAGCUGUGCCAUGGUGCCCUGGUGACCUUGCACGUAUCCACACAGACCACACGGGCAAAGGCCUGAGUCACAACCCAUCUCUGUGUCGGUGGAACACCCCGAGAAAAGCAGGUGUUUCUGCCAAUUCAAUGCUGCUACGGUAGGGCACUAUUCAUUACGCUGAAUGUGACACAGGAUCUACAAACAUGCAGGAAGGCCU